UACGUAGGGUGCAAGCGUUGUCCGGAAUUAUUGGGCGUAAAGAGCUCGUAGGCGGUUUGUUGCGUCGGCUGUGAAAUCCCGAGGCUCAACCUCGGGUCUGCAGUCGAUACGAGCAAACUAGAGUGUUGCAGGGGGAGACUGGAAUUCCUGGUGUAGCGGUGAAAAUGCGCAGAUAUCAGGAGGAACACCGGUGGCGAAGGCGGGGUCUCUGGGGCAACAACUGACGCUGAGGAGCGAAAGCGUGGGGGAGCGAACAGG
rnacentral:rRNA from 1 species